rnacentral:rRNA from 1 species
UACGGGGGGGGCAAGCGUUGUUCGGAAUUACUGGGCGUAAAGGGCUCGUAGGUGGCCAACUAAGUCAGACGUGAAAUCCCUCGGCUUAACCGGGGAACUGCGUCUGAUACUGGAUGGCUUGAGUUCGGGAGAGGGAUGCGGAAUUCCAGGUGUAGCGGUGAAAUGCGUAGAUAUCUGGAGGAACACCGGUGGCGAAGGCGGCAUCCUGGACCGACACUGAGGCACGAAAGCUAGGGGAGCAAACAGG